rnacentral:rRNA from 1 species
CAAGGAAUUUUCCGCAAUGGGCGCAAGCCUGACGGAGCAACGCCGCGUGGGGGAUGAAGGCUCUAGGGUUGUAAACCCCUUUUGCGAGGGAAGAAGAUCUGACGGUACCUCGCGAAUAAGCCACGGCUAACUACGUGCCAGCAGCCGCGGUAAUACGUAGGUGGCAAGCGUUGUCCGGAUUUACUGGGCGUAAAGCGCGCGCAGGCGGGCCAAUAAGUCCCGGGUUAAAUUCCACGGCUCAACCGUGGGCAGCCCCGGGAUACUGCUGGCCUUGAGGCAUCCAGAGGAGAGUGGAAUUCCCGGUGUAGUGGUGGAAUGCGUAGAUAUCGGGAGGAACACCAGUGGCGAAAGCGGCUCUCUGGGGAUGUCCUGACGCUGAGGCGCGAAAGCGUGGGGAGCGAACCGG